rnacentral:rRNA from 1 species
AGUGAACGCUGGCGGUAGGCCUAACACAUGCAAGUCGAACGGCAGCACAGUAAGAGCUUGCUCUUACGGGUGGCGAGUGGCGGACGGGUGAGGAAUACAUCGGAAUCUACUUUUUCGUGGGGGAUAACGUAGGGAAACUUACGCUAAUACCGCAUACGACCUACGGGUGAAAGCAGGGGAUCUUCGGACCUUGCGCGAUUGAAUGAGCCGAUGUCGGAUUAGCUAGUUGGCGGGGUAAAGGCCCACCAAGGCGACGAUCCGUAGCUGGCCUGAGAGGAUGAUCAGCCAAACUGGAACGGAGACACGGUCCAGACUCCUACGGGAGGCAGCAGUGGGGAAUAUUGGACAAUGGGCGCAAGCCUGAUCCAGCCAUACCGCGUGGGUGAAGAAGGCCUUCGGGUUGUAAAGCCCUUUUGUUGGGAAAGAAAAGCAGCAGGUUAAUACCCCGCUGUUCUGACGGUACCCAAAGAAUAAGCACCGGCUAACUUCGU